rnacentral:lncRNA from 1 species
UGGCCACGACUAUACUUCACUAACAGUGACCCUUACGAUCAUAUUGCAUCACUACUCUCGCCAGAGGGUACACCAUCACCUACAAGGAGCAAUCCUCUCACAUCUUUUCAGAUUAGAUGGGAGGGAAAUAGAAAUCCCUUAGAGAUCAAAAGCCUAACGAAAUACUUUAUGAAUUAUGCAUGCCAAUACCAAUACAUAUUUCUCAUGUCUAUACAUCAUUUCAUGUUUAAUCACUUU